GGCGUUGUGAAGGGAGAGAUGGAGGAGGGGUUUGAGCAGCGCUGUGCAAGAAUGAACGGCUGGUAAGAGAAGAGGUGUGUGUGCUGAGAGCAAGGGCUGUACGGCUCCUCUCUGUGUUCUCACAGGAAGUGCACGGCAGAGCUCCUUGCUCUCUGUUCUUUCUUGCAAGGCUGCGGCGCUUCAAAGUGCGCUGUGGGUGGGCAGCGCGAUGACAGCCCAAGGGUGGCAGCAGGAGAUGCAGCGCAGCCCUCUGCAGCAGCAGGGUGCAUUGAUUGGUCU
rnacentral:lncRNA from 1 species